rnacentral:lncRNA from 1 species
AAAACAGACAAUAUAAAAGAAUAGAAGAUAAAACAAAAGAAAUAAAUGCAAAAAUGAAUAUAAAACAGUGAAAGUCAAGAAAGAAACAAAGAAUCAUAAAAGAAGGUUGAAAAUCAAGAAAUACAAAAAAGAUGGAAAAUAAGUAAGAAAUGAAACAACGAGAAAGAAUAUUAAAGAAACAUAAGAAAAACAAAAAGAAAAGAAAAAAAACCGGUUAAGAAAUUAAAUCCAAAGAAACAAAAUGAAAAA